rnacentral:rRNA from 1 species
GCGGUGAUGAUGUGGUUUAAUUCGAUGCAACGCGAAAACCUUACCCACCUUUGACAUGGCAGGAAUCCUGAAGAGAUUUGGGAGUGCUCGAAAGAGAACCUGCACACAGGUGCUGCAUGGCUGUCGUCAGCUCGUGUCGUGAGAUGUUGGGUUAAGUCCCGCAACGAGCGCAACCCUUGCCAUUAGUUGCUACGAAAGGGCACUCUAAUGGGACUGCCGGUGACAAACCGGAGGAAGGUGGGGAUGACGUCAAGUCCUCAUGGCCCUUAUAGGUGGGGCUACACACGUCAUACAAUGGCCGGUACAGAGGGUAGCCAACCCGCGAGGGGGAGCCAAUCCCACAAAGCCGGUCGUAGUCCGGAUUGCAGUCUGCAACUCGGCUGCGUGAAGUCGGAAUCGCUAGUAAUCGCGGAUCAGCAUGUCGCGGUGAAUACGUUCCCGGGUCUU